AGUGGCAGACGGGUGAGUAAUGUAUAGGAAUCUACCUAGUAGUACGGAAUAAUUGUUGGAAACGGCAACUAAUACCGUAUACGCCCUACGGGGGAAAAAUUUAUUGCUAUUAGAUGAGCCUAUAUUAGAUUAGUUAGUUGGUGAGGUAAAGGCUUACCAAGACAAUGAUCUAUAGCUGAUCUGAGAGGAUGAUCAGCCACACUGGAACUGAGAUACGGUCCAGGCUCCUACGGGAGGCAGCAGUGGGGAAUAUUGGACAAUGGGCGAAAGCCUGAUCCAGCCAUGCCGCAUGAGUGAAGAAGGCCUUCGGGUUGUAAAGCUCUUUUAGUGAGGAAGAUAAUGACGGUACUCACAGAAGAAGUCCUGGCUAACUCCGUGCCAGCAGCCGCGGUAAUACGGAGAGGGCUAGCGUUAUUCGGAAUCAUUGGGCGUAAAGGGCGCGUAGGCGGGUUAGUAAGUUAAAAGUGAAAUCCCAAGGCUCAACCUUGGAACUGCUUUUAAAACUGCUAGUCUAGAGAUUGAAAGAGGAUAGAGGAAUUCCUAGUGUAGAGAUGAAAUUCGUAAAUAUUAGGAGGAACACCAGUGGCGAANGCGUCUAUCUGGUUCAAAUCUGACGCUGANGCGCGAA
rnacentral:rRNA from 1 species